GUUGAAACACUGUUUCCCAUAAAAUCACCGAAGUUAAGUAACGUCGAACCUGGUCAGUACCUAUGUGGGUGACUACUUGGGAAUACCUAGUGCU